CCCUUAGACACUCUAGGCGGCACGCGCGCUACAAUGGGUGGAAGAACGUGUUACUGCCUCCGAAAGGAGGGGUGAAUCACGAAUUCUUGCCCGUGAAUGGGAUAGUUUGUUGCAAUUUUCGGACUUGAACUAGGAAUCCCUUGUAAACAUGCUCAAGAAUAGCGUGUUGAAUACGUCCCUGCCGUUUGUACACAUCGCCCGUCGUUUCUUCCGACUGAUACUCAUUGUGAGUUGCAAGGACCCUUUAUUGGGAAAUUGCUGCAAAUGCUUUGUAUUGGAGGAAGAAAAAGUCGUAACA
rnacentral:rRNA from 1 species